UACGAAGGGGGCGAGCGUUGUUCGGAAUUACUGGGCGUAAAGGGCGCGUAGGCGGCGACUCAAGUUAGAUGUGAAAGUCCUGGGCUUAACCUGGGGACUGCAUUUGAUACUGGGUUGCUUGAAUUCGGGAGAGGAUAGCGGAAUUCCCAGUGUAGAGGUGAAAUUCGUAGAUAUUGGGAAGAACACCGGUGGCGAAGGCGGCUAUCUGGACCGACAUUGACGCUGAGGCGCGAAAAGCGUGGGGGAGCAAACAGG
rnacentral:rRNA from 1 species